rnacentral:rRNA from 1 species
UCAGUCGACUCCUACGGGGAGGCAGCAGUGGGGGAAUAUUGCACAAUGGGCGCAAGCCUGGUGCAGCCAUGCCGCGUGUAUGAAGAAGGCCUUCGGGUUGUAAAGUACUUUCAGCAGUGAGGAAGGUGGGGUAUGUUAAUAGCAUACUCAUUUGACGUUAGCUGCAGAAGAAGCACCGGCUAACUCCGUGCCAGCAGCCGCGGUAAUACGGAGGGUGCGAGCGUUAAUCGGAAUUACUGGGCGUAAAGCGCAUGCAGGUGGUUUGUUAAGUUCAGAUGUGAAAGACCCGGGGCUCAACCUCGGAAUUGCAUUUGAAACUGGCAAACUAGAGUACUGUAGAGGGGGGUAGGAAUUUCAGGUGUAGCGGUGAAAUGCGUAGAGAUCUGAAGGAAUACCGGUGGCGAAGGCGGCCCCCUCGGACAAAGACUGACGCUCAGAUGCGAAAGCGUGGGGAGCAAACAGGAUUAGAUACCCUGGUAG